UCAAUCGUUGGAAAGAAACAGUGCAUGUACACCAUCAGAAACGUCAAAAGAAGUCUGAUGGCAUACGACGACAAGAGAUACCUCAGCAAUGACAUCGAAUCCUACCCUUACGGAAGCUGUGAAUAUGGAGAUGUGCAGGAAGAGAACUGAUACUUCCGUGACAUGCUGUUCUCGCGUGCGGUCUGGGACUGAGCCGUGGAUGGAGAAGGACGAACGCUUGGGUGAUCCACACGGUACUUAUGUGAAAAAUGCCAUGGAUGCGGGGUGGAAAUGUCCAGUGUGCUGGAAGUGCCCCAGAGAGAACUACAAUCUCUCUGAGAAUGCCAUGAUGUGUCUAAUAAAUGUUGAAAACUA